rnacentral:rRNA from 1 species
GCCGGGUAGCCGCGUGCGGCGCGGAUAACCGCUGAAGGCAUCUAAGCGGGAAGCCGUUCCAGGGAUUAGUUCUCCUUCCGGUAAGGGCCCAGGUAGACUACCUGGUCGAUAGACGGCAGGUGCAAGGCUGGCGACAGCCUCAGCCGAGCCGCACUAAUCGCCCGAGCUCUUCCGGAA